GUGGGCCACGAGAGAGGGUGUGCUGGAGCGCUGGAACACCAAAGAGAGCGAGCGAGACGGGGAGUGACGGAGGUGGAAGUCAGUGUGUGUCGGGCAGGCGGAGAGAGAGGGAGUGCGUGCGGGAGUGAGCCCAACCGUCCUCUCGACUGACUCGUUUGAUAUUAAUUCAUAUAGCAUGUUCUGAUUAUCGCUUUUGAGAUUUUU